CAAAGAAGCAAAAUUUGCUUCUCAACAUACCCGUUUAUACUUAAACCCAUCCGAUAAGUGAAGGAUGGCGAUAGAAGGAUUCACAGGACAUCCAUAUCCUAUCAAUAAAUCGACCAAUCACGGCACCCCGUCGUCCUGCGAGGGUGACGUCUCGGUCGUGAUUGGCCGAAAUAGAUACCGCCUUUACGAAGUCAACGCCCGAGAACUCGAACGAUUCGAUCGUCAAGAAACUUCAUACGAUCAAUCACGCAAAAUCAAUUUGAAGAUUCCCUGAAAAUUUGAUGGAAAUCGCUUCAGCCGUUUAGAAGUCUAAAGGGAACAUCCAUCCACAUCGAGUUUUAUUCAUAUAGUUAAGUAUGACUUACCAUCUAUGUGACUAAGACCGAGCCAAGAAACAUCUUGAGUAAAUCGAAUAACUUACCAACUAAA